UACGUAGGUGGCAAGCGUUGUCCGGAUUUAUUGGGUUUAAAGGGUGCGUAGGUGGGCAGUUAAGUCAGUGGUGAAAUCUCCGGGCUCAACCCGGAAACUGCCAUUGAUACUAUCUGUCUUGAAUAUCGUGGAGGUAAGCGGAAUAUGUCAUGUAGCGGUGAAAUGCUUAGAUAUGACAUAGAACACCAAUUGCGAAGGCAGCUUACUACCCGAAUAUUGACACUGAGGCACGAAAGCGUGGGGAUCAAACAGG
rnacentral:rRNA from 1 species